rnacentral:rRNA from 1 species
GAUGAACGCUGGCGGCGUGCUUAACACAUGCAAGUCGAACGGAGACUUUUUCAGUGCAACCUUCGGGGAGCAAGAGAAAGUCUUAGUGGCGGACGGGUGAGUAACGCGUGGGCAACCUGCCUCGCACCGUGGGAUAACAGGGGGAAGCUCCUGCUAAUACCGCAUAAAGUAUAUAGACGCAUGUCAAUAUACAAAAAGGGAUACCGGUGAGAGAUGGGCCCGCGUCCGAUUAGAUAGUUGGCAGGAUAGCAGCCUACCAAGUCAACGAUCGGUAGCCGGCUUGAGAGAGUGGACGGCCACACUGGGACUGAGACACGGCCCAGACUCCUACGGGAGGCAGCAGUGGGGAAUAUUGGACAAUGGGGGCAACCCUGAUCCAGCGACGCCGCGUGAGUGAAGAAGUAUCUCGGUACGUAAAGCUCUAUCAGCAGGGAAGAAAAAAGACGGUACCUGACUAAGAAGCCCCGGCUAACUACGUGCCAGCAGCCGCGGUAAUACGUAGGGGGCAAGCGUUAUCCGGAAUUACUGGGUGUAAAGGGAGCGUAGACGGCUAUGCAAGUCUGGAGUGAAAUGCCGGGGCUCAACCCCGGAGCUGCUCUGGAAACUGCGUGGCUUGAGUGUCGGAGGGGCAGGCGGAAUUCCCAGUGUAGCGGUGAAAUGCGUAGAUAUUGGGAGGAACACCGGCGGCGAAGGCGGCCUGCUGGACGACAACUGACGUUGAGGCUCGAAGGCGUGGGUAGCAAACAGG